rnacentral:rRNA from 1 species
CCUACGGGGGUCAGCAGUGGGGAAUAUUGCUCAAUGGAGGAAACCCUGAUGCAGCCACGCCGCGUGAGUGAAGAAGUCUCUCGGUAUGUAAAGCUGUAUCAGCAGGGGAGAAAAUGACGGUACCUGACUACGAAGCCCCGGCUAACUACGUGCCAGCAGCCGCGGUAAUAAGUAGGGGGCAAGCUUUAUCCGGAUUUACUGGGUGUAAAGGGAGCGUAGACGGCGGUGCAAGUCCGGAGUGAAAGCCCAUGGCUUAACCAUGGUACUGCUGUGGAAACUGUGGAGCUUGAGUGCGGGAGGGGCAGGCGGAAUUCCUGGUGUAGCGGUGAAAUGCGUAGAUAUUAGGCGGAACACCGGCGGCGAAGGCGGCCUACUGGACCGUAACUGACGUUGAGGCUCGAAAGCGUGGGGAGCAAACAGGAUUAGAUACCCGUGUAGUC